GUACACUCCUACGGGAGGCAGCAGUGGGGAAUUUUGGACAAUGGGCGAAAGCCUGAUCCAGCAAUGCCGCGUGAGUGAAGAAGGCCUUCGGGUUGUAAAGCUCUUUUGUCAGGGAAGAAACGGUGAAAGCUAAUAUCUUUUGCUAAUGACGGUACCUGAAGAAUAAGCACCGGCUAACUACGUGCCAGCAGCCGCGGUAAUACGUAGGGUGCAAGCGUUAAUCGGAAUUACUGGGCGUAAAGCGUGCGCAGGCGGUUUUGUAAGUCUGAUGUGAAAUCCCCGGGCUCAACCUGGGAAUUGCAUUGGAGACUGCAAGGCUAGAAUCUGGCAGAGGGGGGUAGAAUUCCACGUGUAGCAGUGAAAUGCGUAGAUAUGUGGAGGAACACCGAUGGCGAAGGCAGCCCCCUGGGUCAAGAUUGACGCUCAUGCACGAAAGCGUGGGGAGCAAACAGGAUUAGAUACCCUGGUAGUCCCAU
rnacentral:rRNA from 1 species